GUAGUCAUAUGCUUGUCUCAAAGAUUAAGCCAUGCAUGUCUAAGUAUAAGCAAUUUAUACAGUGAAACUGCGAAUGGCUCAUUAAAUCAGUUAUCGUUUAUUUGAUAGUACCUUUACUACUUGGAUAACCGUGGUAAUUCUAGAGCUAAUACAUGCUAAAAAUCCCGACUUCUGGAAGGGAUGUAUUUAUUAGAUAAAAAAUCAAUGCUCUUCGGAGCUCUUUGAUGAUUCAUAAUAACUUUUCGAAUCGCAUGGCCUUGUGCUGGCGAUGGUUCAUUCAAAUUUCUGCCCUAUCAACUUUCGAUGGUAGGAUAGUGGCCUACCAUGGUUUCAACGGGUAACGGGGAAU
rnacentral:rRNA from 1 species